rnacentral:rRNA from 1 species
UACGUAGGGGGGCGAGCGUUAUCCGGAUUUACUGGGCGUAAAAGCGCGUUAAGGCGGUUGGCAAAGUUGGUGGUGAAAUUUCAGGGCUCAACCCUGAAACUGCCUCCAAUACUGGUCGACUCGAGUGCGAGAGAGGAAGGUGGAAUUCCCGGUGUAGUAGUGAAAAUGCGUAGAUAUCGGGAGGAACACCAGUGGCGAAGGCGGCCUUCUGGACCAGUACUGACGCUCAUGCACGAAAGCGUGGGGAGCAAACAGG